rnacentral:rRNA from 1 species
GACAGAGGGUGCAAACGUUGUUCGGAAUUACUGGGCGUAAAGCGCGUGUAGGCGGCUAUGUAAGUCGGGCGUGAAAUCCCACGGCUCAACCGUGGAAGUGCACCCGAAACUGCGUAGCUAGAGUCCUGGAGAGGAGGGUGGAAUGCUUGGUGUAGAGGUGAAAUUCGUAGAUAUCGGGAAGAACACCAGUGGCGAAGGCGGCUGCCUGGCCUGUAACUGACGCUGAGACGCGAAAGCGUGGGGAGCGAACCGG